UACGUAGGUGGCAAGCGUUGUCCGGAAUUAUUGGGCGUAAAGAGCGUGUAGGCGGUUCGGUAGGUCCGUUGUGAAAACUCGAGGCUCAACCUCGAGACGCCGAUGGAAACCCUCGAACUAGAGUCCGGAAGAGGAGAGUGGAAUUCCUGGUGUAGCGGUGAAAUGCGCAGAUAUCAGGAAGAACACCCGUGGCUAAGGCGGCUCUCUAGUACGGUACUGACGCUGAGACGCGAAAGCGUGGGGAGCGAACAGG
rnacentral:rRNA from 1 species